CUUCCGGAGCGGCCGAUGUCGGAUUAGCUAGUUGGCGGGUAAAGGCCCACCAAGGCAACGAUCCGUAGCGGUCUGAGAGGAUGAUCCGCCACACUGGGACUGAGACACGGCCAGACUCCUACGGGAGGCAGCAGUGGGGAAUUUUGGACAAUGGGGGCAACCCUGAUCCAGCCAUGCCGCGUGAGUGAAGAAGGCCUUCGGGUUGUAAAGCUCUUUCGGCUGGGAAGAAAUCGCAUCUCCUAAUACGGGGUGUGGAUGACGGUACCAGCAUAAGAAGCACCGGCUAACUACGUGCCAGCAGCCGCGGUAAUACGUAGGGUGCGAGCGUUAAUCGGAAUUACUGGGCGUAAAGCGUGCGCAGGCGGUUUCGUAAGACAGAGGUGAAAUCCCCGGGCUCAACCUGGGAACUGCCUUUGUGACUGCGAGGCUAGAGUAUGGCAGAGGGGGGUGGAAUUCCACGUGUAGCAGUGAAAUGCGUAGAGAUGUGGAGGAACACCGAUGGCGAAGGC
rnacentral:rRNA from 1 species